UACGGGGGGAGCAAGCGUUGUUCGGAUUUACUGGGCGUAAAGGGCGCGUAGGCGGUCGUGAGAAGUCACUUGUGAAAUCUCCGGGCUUAACUCGGAACGGUCAAGUGAUACUGUCGGACUAGAGUACAGAAGGGGCAACUGGAAUUCUCGGUGUAGCGGUGAAAUGCGUAGAUAUCGAGAGGAACACCUGCGGCGAAGGCGGGUUGCUGGGCUGAUACUGACGCUGAGGCGCGAAAGCCAGGGGAGCGAACGGG
rnacentral:rRNA from 1 species